ensembl:miRNA MIR6761 microRNA 6761
UCUGCUCUGAGAGAGCUCGAUGGCAGGUGCCUCCGUGUUGCCGAACCCUCCUACGCUGCUCUCUCACUCCAG